UUAAGCGACUAAGCGUACACGGUGGAUGCCCUGGCAGUCAGAGGCGAUGAAGGACGUGCUAAUCUGCGAUAAGCGCCGGUAAGGUGAUAUGAACCGUUAUAACCGGCGAUUUCCGAAUGGGGAAACCCAGUGUGAUUCGUCACACUAUCAUUAACUGAAUCCAUAGGUUAAUGAGGCGAACCGGGGGAACUGAAACAUCUAAGUACCCCGAGGAAAAGAAAUCAACCGAGAUUCCCCCAGUAGCGGCGAGCGAACGGGGAGGAGCCCAGAGCCUGAAUCAGCAUGUGUGUUAGUGGAAGCGUCUGGAAAGGUGCGCGAUACAGGGUGACAGCCCCGUACACAAAAGCGCAUGUGCUGUGAGCUCGAUGAGUAGGGCGGGACACGUGGUAUCCUGUCUGAAUAUGGGGGGACCAUCCUCCAAGGCUAAAUACUCCUGACUGACCGAUAGUGAACCAGUACCGUGAGGGAAAGGCGAAAAGAACCCCGGCGAGGGGAGUGAAAAAGAACCUGAAACCGUGUACGUACAAGCAGUGGGAGCACAGGUUUACCUGUGUGACUGCGUACCUUUUGUAUAAUGGGUCAGCGACUUAUAUUCUGUAGCAAGGUUAACCGAAUAGGGGAGCCGGAGGGAAACCGAGUCUUAAUUGGGCGUUAAGUUGCAGGGUAUAGACCCGAAACCCGGUGAUCUAGCCAUGGGCAGGUUGAAGGUUGGGUAACACUAACUGGAGGACCGAACCGACUAAUGUUGAAAAAUUAGCGGAUGACCUGUGGCUGGGGGUGAAAGGCCAAUCAAACCGGGAGAUAGCUGGUUCUCCCCGAAAGCUAUUUAGGUAGCGCCUCGUGAAUUCAUCUCCGGGGGUAGAGCACUGUUUCGGCUAGGGGGCCAUCCCGGCUUACCAACCCGAUGCAAACUGCGAAUACCGGAGAAUGUUAUCACGGGAGACACACGGCGGGUGCUAACGUCCGUCGUGAAGAGGGAAACAACCCAGACCGCCAGCUAAGGUCCCAAAGUCAUGGUUAAGUGGGAAACGAUGUGGGAAGGCCCAGACAGCCAGGAUGUUGGCUUAGAAGCAGCCAUCAUUUAAAGAAAGCGUAAUAGCUCACUGGUCGAGUCGGCCUGCGCGGAAGAUGUAACGGGGCUAAACCAUGCACCGAAGCUGCGGCAGCGACGCUGAUGCGUUGUUGGGUAGGGGAGCGUUCUGUAAGCCUGCGAAGGUGACCUGUGAGGGUUGCUGGAGGUAUCAGAAGUGCGAAUGCUGACAUAAGUAACGAUAAAGCGGGUGAAAAGCCCGCUCGCCGGAAGACCAAGGGUUCCUGUCCAACGUUAAUCGGGGCAGGGUGAGUCGACCCCUAAGGCGAGGCCGAAAGGCGUAGUCGAUGGGAAACGGGUUAAUAUUCCCGUACUUGGUGUUACUGCGAAGGGGGGACGGAGAAGGCUAUGUUGGCCGGGCGACGGUUGUCCCGGUUUAAGCGUGUAGGUGUGUGUUCCAGGUAAAUCCGGUUCACUUUAACACUGAGGCGUGACGACGAGGCACUACGGUGCUGAAGCAACAAAUGCCCUGCUUCCAGGAAAAGCCUCUAAGCAUCAGGUAACAUCAAAUCGUACCCCAAACCGACACAGGUGGUCAGGUAGAGAAUACCAAGGCGCUUGAGAGAACUCGGGUGAAGGAACUAGGCAAAAUGGUGCCGUAACUUCGGGAGAAGGCACGCUGACACGUAGGUGAAGUGAUUUACUCAUGGAGCUGAAGUCAGUCGAAGAUACCAGCUGGCUGCAACUGUUUAUUAAAAACACAGCACUGUGCAAACACGAAAGUGGACGUAUACGGUGUGACGCCUGCCCGGUGCCGGAAGGUUAAUUGAUGGGGUCAGCGUAAGCGAAGCUCCUGAUCGAAGCCCCGGUAAACGGCGGCCGUAACUAUAACGGUCCUAAGGUAGCGAAAUUCCUUGUCGGGUAAGUUCCGACCUGCACGAAUGGCGUAAUGAUGGCCAGGCUGUCUCCACCCGAGACUCAGUGAAAUUGAACUCGCUGUGAAGAUGCAGUGUACCCGCGGCAAGACGGAAAGACCCCGUGAACCUUUACUAUAGCUUGACACUGAACAUUGAGCCUUGAUGUGUAGGAUAGGUGGGAGGCUUUGAAGUGUGGACGCCAGUCUGCAUGGAGCCGACCUUGAAAUACCACCCUUUAAUGUUUGAUGUUCUAACGUGGACCCGUAAUCCGGGUUGCGGACAGUGUCUGGUGGGUAGUUUGACUGGGGCGGUCUCCUCCUAAAGAGUAACGGAGGAGCACGAAGGUUGGCUAAUCCUGGUCGGACAUCAGGAGGUUAGUGCAAUGGCAUAAGCCAGCUUGACUGCGAGCGUGACGGCGCGAGCAGGUGCGAAAGCAGGUCAUAGUGAUCCGGUGGUUCUGAAUGGAAGGGCCAUCGCUCAACGGAUAAAAGGUACUCCGGGGAUAACAGGCUGAUACCGCCCAAGAGUUCAUAUCGACGGCGGUGUUUGGCACCUCGAUGUCGGCUCAUCACAUCCUGGGGCUGAAGUAGGUCCCAAGGGUAUGGCUGUUCGCCAUUUAAAGUGGUACGCGAGCUGGGUUUAGAACGUCGUGAGACAGUUCGGUCCCUAUCUGCCGUGGGCGCUGGAGAACUGAGGGGGGCUGCUCCUAGUACGAGAGGACCGGAGUGGACGCAUCACUGGUGUUCGGGUUGUCAUGCCAAUGGCACUGCCCGGUAGCUAAAUGCGGAAGAGAUAAGUGCUGAAAGCAUCUAAGCACGAAACUUGCCCCGAGAUGAGUUCUCCCUGAGACUUAGAGUCUCCUGAAGGAACGUUGAAGACGACGACGUUGAUAGGCCGGGUGUGUAAGCGCAGCGAUGCGUUGAGCUAACCGGUACUAAUGAACCGUGAGGCUUAACCUU
rnacentral:rRNA from 1 species